GUCUCAUAUGUUUGAAACAAAUCCCUCUUGGGACACAUAUGAUACGAACAAGCAGAAUCCAGAAUCCACUCCUCAAGUUUGGAUUCCCCGUCAGAUACAGCCAACAUCACAUCUCCAUCAUCACAAAAAUUUUCAGCAAUAUUAGUCUCGUUCGAAUUACCUGAUUGCCCCACAUGAUUUGCAUGUAAAUCACCUUUACC
rnacentral:lncRNA from 1 species